rnacentral:rRNA from 1 species
UACAGGGGGUGCAACCGUUGCUCGGAAUUAUUGGGCGUAAAGCGCGCGUAGGCGGCCACUUAAGUCGGAUGUGAAAGCCCCUGGCUCAACUGGGGAAGUGCACCCGAAACUGAAUGGCUUGAAUGCAAAAGAGGGUCGCGGAAUUCCCGGUGUAGAGGUGAAAUUCGUAGAUAUCGGGAGGAACACCGGUGGCGAAGGCGGCGACCUGGGUUGACAUUGACGCUGAGGCGCGAAAGCGUGGGGAGCAAACAGG